AUUUUAUCUCACUUCUCUUAUGGUCACAAGAGCCGUAUUUCAUGAGCAACGUGCAAUGCUACGAGAGACAGCUUAGUCAAGCAAUAAGCAGAUAGAGGCAAAAAUAAGAGCAAAGAAAAGGAAUAGAUAUUCUCUUUCAACUAAGGUAAUGUUGACUUUCUAGUUUAAUUUUUUUUUCUUUAUUUUUUUUUUUCAUGCAAGAAGAAGUGGAGAUGGAGGCAAGAAUAUGAGCAAAGAAAGGAAAUAGAUAAAUAAGACUUUUUAGGAAAAUAGUUUUUUAUUUUUAAUCUUUGUACAAUUAGUUGUAUGAUAUUGAGUAUGUUUAGUAAUAGUUUUUUCAAUUUGUCUGUGAAAUUUUUAUGCUUAUGAAUGAAAUGUCAGUCUUUAAUAUUAA